UUCAGAAAAUCCUGUAUCAGAUGUCAGUUCUGCUGAUGUCAUCAAUUGUUCAGUCUCAAAGCUCUCUCUCACAGGUAAGAAGUCAUCAUGUCUUCCUUUGUCAUCGAUCAGCCUCUACCCGUCAUGGAGUCCAAGGAGUCUGACCAGUGGAGUUCCGAAAUCUGUGACUGCACCGAUGACAUGGCAGACUAUUUGUGUGCUGUUUUGGAUUCUGGUGUUGUCCCUGCCAUGCCUGUAUACAUACAAGGGAGUACGGACAGUGUCUUUGUCUCCCUCUGCUGGACAUCUUCGGCAUCAUCCCACCCGUCACAAUGUCCAUGAGGGUGUCCAUGCGCCAGCGCUACGGCAUCAAAGAAUUAAUAACUUUCUGGUGCUGGGCCAUUCCAAUGUCUGCUAUAUAACCAUUGUUGUAAAUUUGCUGACUGUGUCUCCGGGGCACCAUCUGUAACGACUGUGUGAAUGCCACCUGCUGCAACUGCUGUGUCUGGUGCCAGAUGUCCAGAGAGAGGAAGAGCCGCAACAUCCCCAUUGUCCUGGUCAGUGCUAGGAAGUAGGAACGAAUGACCAACAUGUUCCCAUAACCUCAAUGUCACCGUAGUCAUCACAAUACAGCCGUAACCUUUUUCAGAGUCAUGUUUCUGUGUUUAUAGAAUGGAUAUUUAUUCCUACAUGCCUGAAUUGUCAGAUUGUUUGACAAGAAGUCAUUGUAAACAGUGUAUAUUAAAACAAUAUUUAUGUAUGCUUAAAGUGAUGUAUAUAUGUCAUUCUAUGAACUAUUAUGC